UUUAUGGAGAGUUUGAUCCUGGCUCAGAGUGAACGCUGGCGGCGUGCCUAAUACAUGCAAGUCGAACGAUGAAGCUUCUAGCUUGCUAGAAUGCUGAUUAGUGGCGCACGGGUGAGUAACGCAUAGGUUAUGUGCCUCUUAGUUUGGGAUAGCCAUUGGAAACGAUGAUUAAUACCAGAUACUCCCUACGGGGGAAAGAUUUAUCGCUAAGAGAUCAGCCUAUGUCCUAUCAGCUUGUUGGUAAGGUAAUGGCUUACCAAGGCUAUGACGGGUAUCCGGCCUGAGAGGGUGAACGGACACACUGGAACUGAGACACGGUCCAGACUCCUACGGGAGGCAGCAGUAGGGAAUAUUGCUCAAUGGGGGAAACCCUGAAGCAGCAACGCCGCGUGGAGGAUGAAGGUUUUAGGAUUGUAAACUCCUUUUGUUAGAGAAGAUAAUGACGGUAUCUAACGAAUAAGCACCGGCUAACUCCGUGCCAGCAGCCGCGGUAAUACGGAGGGUGCAAGCGUUACUCGGAAUCACUGGGCGUAAAGAGCGCGUAGGCGGGAUAGUCAGUCAGGUGUGAAAUCCUAUGGCUUAACCAUAGAACUGCAUUUGAAACUACUAUUCUAGAGUGUGGGAGAGGUAGGUGGAAUUCUUGGUGUAGGGGUAAAAUCCGUAGAGAUCAAGAGGAAUACUCAUUGCGAAGGCGACCUGCUGGAACAUUACUGACGCUGAUUGCGCGAAAGCGUGGGGAGCAAACAGGAUUAGAUACCCUGGUAGUCCACGCCCUAAACGAUGGAUGCUAGUUGUUGGAGGGCUUAGUCUCUCCAGUAAUGCAGCUAACGCAUUAAGCAUCCCGCCUGGGGAGUACGGUCGCAAGAUUAAAACUCAAAGGAAUAGACGGGGACCCGCACAAGCGGUGGAGCAUGUGGUUUAAUUCGAAGAUACACGAAGAACCUUACCUAGGCUUGACAUUGAGAGAAUCCGCUAGAAAUAGUGGAGUGUCUGGCUUGCCAGACCUUGAAAACAGGUGCUGCACGGCUGUCGUCAGCUCGUGUCGUGAGAUGUUGGGUUAAGUCCCGCAACGAGCGCAACCCCCUUUCUUAGUUGCUAACAGGUUAUGCUGAGAACUCUAAGGAUACUGCCUCCGUAAGGAGGAGGAAGGUGGGGACGACGUCAAGUCAUCAUGGCCCUUACGCCUAGGGCUACACACGUGCUACAAUGGGGUGCACAAAGAGAAGCAAUACUGCGAAGUGGAGCCAAUCUUCAAAACACCUCUCAGUUCGGAUUGUAGGCUGCAACUCGCCUGCAUGAAGCUGGAAUCGCUAGUAAUCGCAAAUCAGCCAUGUUGCGGUGAAUACGUUCCCGGGUCUUGUACUCACCGCCCGUCACACCAUGGGAGUUGUGUUUGCCUUAAGUCAGGAUGCUAAAUUGGCUACUGCCCACGGCACACACAGCGACUGGGGUGAAGUCGUAACAAGGUAACCGUAGGUGAACCUGCGGUUGGAUCACCUCCUUUCUA
rnacentral:rRNA from 1 species